rnacentral:rRNA from 1 species
UACGUAGGUGACCAGCGUUGUCCGGAUUUACUGGGCGUAAAGAGCGCGCAGGCGGUCGUUCAAGUCGAGUGUGAAAGCCCCCGGCUCAACUGGGGAGGGUCAUUCGAUACUGAUCGACUUGAAGGCAGGAGAGGGAAGCGGAAUUCCCGGUGUAGUGGUGAAAUGCGUAGAUAUCGGGAGGAACACCAGUGGCGAAGGCGGCUUCC